GAGGCCUGGGUGGGUCGGGGAGCUGAGUGUGAGAACUUUGCUUAGGUAAUUAGGGAACUGCGGCUGCCCCAGGUGGCUGAGAUAGUUUGAUCUGAUCAACCUAAGGGGGAUACCCGAGAGCCAGUGCUCAUCAACACCCCCACCCCAUGGGCACAGGGCCCGUCCCCUCCCUGACCCGUUCCACCUGACCUGAUGAUGCUUGGCACUCGAUGAAUUAUCCGGAUGUAAGCGAGCCUGGGGAGGGGCAGGGCGGGCCCAGGGUCCUGAGCUUGGGAGGAGAGAGAUCCUGACCGAGCCCCGAGCUCUCGGCACACCUCCUCUCGAGCGGUCCUCAUACUGCCCCGUGAGCCGGGCGUCGCGCCCACUAUACUGAUGAAGGAACGGAGGCUCCACGGAGCCACCUGCCCCCGUUCCCCAGGAGGUGAAGCGGCCCAGCUGCCUCGCUGCCCAGCUGCUGGAGAUUGUGGCUGCUCAGGAGUCAGACGCUCCGCAGGCGCUGUCCACGGUGGCAAGAGAGUGACGUCAGGGAGCACGGGAGUAGGUGAACAAUCCCUUCCAGCUCAAGGCCUCAGUUUCCCUGUCUGUCAUCUGAGAAGGCUGGGCCAGAAGGUCCGUGAGCCUCCGCUCCGGUGACCGCUUCUUCUGGAGCUUAGUCUGACCCAAGUCCAAGUCCCGUUUUGUGUGCACGCCCUGCCCCCUGGUGGAACCCGGUGGUACUACAACGUGAGAGGCCUGUGGUCCGGACGCGGUCAGGGGCCAGGGACCUUUUUGAGGGGUUUUGGUUAUCUGCCUUCCAGGAGAAUCUGAUCAACUUCCAGGAAAAGAGUUAGACUCAUAGGAAGGGCGAUACAGAGCAGAGGAGGAACCAUCCGACUGGAGGGUGAGGGGAGGCGCUGGAAUCAAGGACAACUUCCUGGAGGCGGGACUGUUUGAACCCAUCUCUGAGAACAGGCUAGAGUGCAGUGGUGUGAUCAAGGCUCACAGCAGCCUCGGUUUCCCAGGCUUAAGCAAUCCUCAGCACCCUCCCAACCCCACUGCCAUCUCCAGGAGCUGGAUCUGGAACUACAUGUGCAGACCACCUCACCGAGCUAAUUUUUAAAUUUUUAGUAGAGAUGGGAUUUUGCCAUGUUGCCCAGGCUGAUCUCAAAUUCCUGGGCUCAAGAGAUCCACCCACCUCAGC